rnacentral:rRNA from 1 species
AUUGAACGCUGGCGGCAGGCUUAACACAUGCAAGUCGAACGAGUGGCGGACGGGUGAGUAAUGCUUGGGAAUCUAGCUUAUGGAGGGGGAUAACUACGGGAAACUGUAGCUAAUACCGCGUACCAUAGGAUGAGCCCAAGUGGGGUUAGGUAGUUGGUGAGGUAAAGGCUCACCAAGCCGACGAUCUCUAGCUGGUCUGAGAGGAUGACCAGCCACACUGGGACUGAGAAACGGCCCAGACUCCUACGGGAGGCAGCAGUGGGCAAUAUUGAGGAAGGAGGGCAAACAGACGCAGCCAUGCCGCGUGAAUGAUGAAGGCCUUCGGGUUGUAAAGUGCUUUCGGUCGCGAGGCGUUAACUACAGAAGAAGCAACGGCUAACUACGUGCCAGCAGCCGCGGUAAUAC